ACCGUAAUGAAGGGGGACGAGGAGCCAGAGCAUCUGUGGGAUUUCUUUAGUCUUCAGUAAAGAUCUUCAGUGAGUUACCUACCAUGGGAGUCGGGAUAUCAGCAGCUUCCAAAGUCAUAAAGUGGAAAAUUGGGCUUUCUCCAAAACCUCCUGUUGGCAGCAUUGAUUCCUCAAUGAUAAAUGUGGUUACUAGCUGAAUUUUCAGUGCAGAAAGAAGUAAAGUGA
rnacentral:lncRNA from 1 species